UACGUAGGGUGCAAGCGUUGUCCGGAAUUAUUGGGCGUAAAGAGCUCGUAGGCGGUUUGUUGCGUCGGCUGUGAAAUCCCGAGGCUCAACCCCGGGCGUGCAUUCGAUACUGCGCGGCUCGAGACAGGUAGGGGAGAUCGGAAUUCCUGGUGUAGCGGUGAAAUGCGCAGAUAUCAGGAGGAACACCGGUGGCGAAGGCGGAUCUCUGGGCCUGUUCUGACGCUGAGGCGCGAAAGCUAGGGGAGCGAACAGG
rnacentral:rRNA from 1 species